rnacentral:lncRNA from 1 species
UCUGCUCGUCGGCCGAGCGGGGGCGCGACAAUAAGCGCUAACCGCGGCGAACAGUAAAAAACUGUACAGAUGGAUGAAGUACGACCUGUACGACAAACACGGCGCUCUUACCGGAAAGCAAAGAGGCAGAAGCGUAGAGAGAUUAAAGGACGAGCCUGCUCACAGAGUGUAAGUUACAAAGAAGUAUCAUCUAGCAGUUAAAAUUAACGUUGGAGCUGCAGCAACAACACGCAAGGAAUCGACGGACGAGAGCGUUACAUUACAUCUAGACCUAAUUCUUCGGACGAUUCGAGGGAUGAAAUCAUUUUUCUCCGCGAACUCUUAAAGAAACCUGCAGCAGAGAGCGUAGGCACUACUGGGCAGAACUAUGAAAUUCUGAUAGCUCAGGACUCCCUGGGUGAAAAAUGGGAAAGAGAGAAGGAGCAGCUCUUGAUUGAAUUUUUUAUACAGAAUCUCAAGAAGAUCCAGGCUUACGAGUCGGUGAGCAACUCGAUUUCGAUUCUCCGACGAUUAAUGCCGGAAUCGCCGAUUGGGCGGAUCGAGUAUCUGGCAGACACGCCGCAGUAUAUGUACACUUGAUGAGGAUUUGCGGAGGCGAUAAAUUAAAAAACGAAGCAGAAAAAUACAGGUUCCUCGAGAAGAUGACGAUCUUCCAAUAAAUACAUAUAUAUCAACUUGCGGAAGAGGAGGACGCGCGAAUUUCGGAUACCUGCGGCGUGGAUACGGCACACCGAGCGUGAAUCAACAGCUCGCUUAUCCGGCAGUCGCGCGUACACGAUAUAUCGGAAUAGUGUCGUUCCGCUCUAUUGCGCGCGAAAGGUAUAGCGAGUGCUUCUCUCGCGGCAAGUCUGCGGACUCGAAAAUGCAUCAGCAGGAUCCAGCAGGCGAGGAAUCAGCGGCGGCAGGGGGGGGAGAAUGGGCAUUUGCUCUAUCGGCGGCAGAACCAUUUCUCGUGCUUCGAGCGCUUGAGAUCGGAAGAAAAAUUGUGCGACGUCGCGAUCCAGGUAACAUAGCCGCGGGGCAACAGGUCCGAGCGGUCCGAGUCACAUUUGGGUCUCAUAGACUUCUCGAUCGUACAGGUGGACGGGCAAUGCCUGAAGGCGCACAGGUUCGUUCUCGCGGCUGCGAUUCCCUACUUUGAGAAAAUGUGCACAGGGACGAGGCGGUGAUCGUGAAGAAUGUCGGGGCCAGGUGCGCGCGAAGCGGCUUUUCCGAUCUGCAGGCAGCCGCGCGACGAGCAUAAUGCGCACUGAUAAUCUCCGAGGCUUGUGCUUUUCGCGUACACGGGCCAAGUCGAGCUGAGCGAGCGCAACGCCGACGGCCUGAUGCUCGACGCCGACUUCCUCGGGCUCAGGGACGCGGCCGACGAGUGCGCCAGAUUCCUCGAGUCCCGCAUCAGCGUGGAGGACGCGCUGGCCAUCAACCAUUCCGGCGAAAUGCUCGACUACCGAGCGCUGCAGGAAGAGAGCAGCAAGUAGCUACUGCGCCACUUUGCCAGCUUCGAGAAGACCGAGCAGUUCCUGCAAAUCUCCCUGGAGAACCUCGCGGAAAUAAUGUCGAGCGACGGGCUGUGCAGGUCGCCUCGGAGGAGCACGUCUACGCGGCGAUGAUGCGCUGGCUGAAGCACGACGUCGCGGCCCGAGGGGAGCACUUGCCCCGACUUCUCACCGACUGCUCAAGGACGUCCUCUCUAGGACGAGCUGAUAGCCGCUUCGGAUGAGUGCAAGAGCCUCGUCAACGCCGUCUGCAUAUACUCCCGAAUCAUACUGAAGGAGCAAAGCCUGCUGAACGACGUCAAAGCUCGAGACUGCGAGAGAUGAGAAAUUUGUCGCUCAUGGAAACGUAUACCACCCCGCGACAGGUAUGCGCCGCGAGCCAUUUGCCAUAUACCAAAUGCCGCGCGAUUCGACGCAAUCAGUAGAACUUAUAACGCUCGCUUCUGCUCUGCAGACACGUGGGAAAGGCAGACUCCUCCAACAAGAAAGGCAGCAUGUUUUUGAGCAGCGCCGUGCUGAAGGGCCAAUUGUACACGGUCGGCGGGGAAGUUUCGGUUCCCUCCAGCAUCGACGUUUACCAGCCUCACGCCAACCGCUGGAGGCAGAUCUGCAAGAUGAAAACUCAGCGCAACUGUCAACAGUUUUCCUCGAGUAGUUGCUCUAGGUGACUUCUUGUUCAUAUGCGGUGGACACGAUGGCAAAAAUUACCUCAACCUAGUGGACAGAUAUUGCCCGGAAACGGGCGAAUGGAAAACAAUGGCUCCAAUGAAUUACAAUCGUUAUACUCCUUCGGCGCUCUCGCUUGCCAAGGCUGUAUUUACGUCUGCGGCGGUUACGAUGAAAGCGCCUAUCUAACUUCGAUCGAAUGUUACGAUCCUUCGAGCGAUACGUGGACGAUCCUGAACGCGACCAUGAAAGAAAAUCGCUAUUACUUUGGGAUGUCAGUUUUGAACGAUAAAAUUUACAUAUGUGGGGGAAGAAGUACCGAUGCUGCAGCCUUGAACACUGUCGAGGUCUACGAUCCUAAACUAAAUGCGUAUGUAUAAUGUGUUGCACACACGCUACGACAUGUACGACAAGACUUUGGGUGCGCCUAUUAUAUAGUUUAUAGAAGCAAAUCAUUUUCAAGCUGUGAAUACGUAGCGAGCAUGAACACUCCGAGACGUGGUCUGAUGCUGGUCGCACGUACAUGGGAAAACUUUGGGCAAUCGGUGGUUUUGAUGGAAUGGACGCUCUUUCCUCUGUUGAGCUGUACGAGCCAGAAACGAAUACAUGGUCCUAUGGCGCCUCGUUAUCCGGGACUAGACCGUGGAUCUGUGGCGGCGUGAUUCCUAUUUACUGACUUCAGCGUUUGUAUUUUUUCGAGAAAAUCAAGGAUGUCCAAAUGAAAAUUUCAGAAAUGCUUUUACGUACUCGUGUAUCGUUUAAUUUAUUUCUUCGCGUGAAAACUGGGGAUAACUGCCGCCAUUUUAAAAUAUAAUGAUUAAUGCAGCAGGAACAUUCCAAACAUUCGCAAAAUUUGCGUCAACGUAAAUAUAGUGCCAAUUCAUUUACAAAUGACGAUUACUUUAUAAAAGUUUUACAAUUUCGCUAAGACUAACAUACCUUACAACUCCUUCGUUCAGUUUUUCAAUUAUUUUUCUAUAAAAGCGUAUUUUAUAUUGUUCACGUUAUUAUUAAAUCUUCAAAGAAUAUCCAUAAGUAACACUCAAUGCACGUAAAAAAGCUACUGAACACAAAUUUUAAAUCAUUACAGAGAUGUGAACAAAUACUGCGUACGUAAAAAAGCAACAGUGCUGACUACUUUGAUGCGAUCCCUUUUCUUUUUCUCUGUAAAAAUAUAGAAUAAUACAUAAAAUUAUGUUCUUUUAUUACUUCCAUUAAUAUCUACAGCCGCGCAAGUGCGGACGUGGACAGUCUAAGAAACAGUGCGCUUUACCAGCCAGUAAUUUUAUUUGAAUGGAACUUUAAAUUUUAAACACUGCAUAUAUGUACUUCUUAUAAUCUUGAAAGUAUUUUAAAAUGUUUUUAACGGGUUAUAAAAAUCAGCAGUCAUACAGUUAAAGUUAUAAAUAAGUAAGUUUUAUAAUAGUCUGUGUUUAAAAAGAAUUAUUUACAUUAUUAUGUUAUAUUUUUCCGUAUCACUGGGCUAUUCUUUUUUUUCAACAUAGUUAAACUAUGCAAAGCUUUCAUCACAAAAAAAAGAAAAGAACGCAAGAGCAAAAAAUAUAAUUGUUUCGUGGCUAUAGGUUAUUGUUCAACGCACUUCGUUCAUUUCUAAAAUCUAAAAAGCUUUUUAUUUAAAGUUUUAUUUCUUAAUACUUAUGCAAUAUAACCACAUUGAGUGAUUGUUUAACAAUCCAUUUCGAUUAGUACACUAAUAGGACUAUUUAAAAUAGUAGUUUUUAACCACCUAAAUCGUUGUCUUAUAAUGUUAAACAGUAUGCAAAAUUACGAGUUUUUAAAUCUUAAUGAAUAAGUACAAUUCAGUGCAAUAAAAUUUGAGAAAAAAAUGGAAAUACAAUUUUAUUGCAAGUACUAGUGAAAUUAACUUUGAGUGAAAAUGGGUGAUCAUUAUUUUUAUAGAUAAAAAAUUUCAGUCAAGUUUUUGUACUUAAACAGUUUAUGAAUAAUCAACUAGAGAAUGCCUAAUCCAAAGACUUGAUCGCGAUCCGUGAAUUACACAUCAUCUUUGAUUUUUUAUUCUUUCAUUACCUGCAUUUAGGUAGGUAUUUUUUUAUCUUCUUAUUGCGUGAAAAUAACAGAUAGAAUUAUAAUUCAGUUUUAAAUACUCACAGAUGAAUGUGAUUUUCAACACUAUGUAUAAUACUGCUGUAUGCUAU